GUGGGGAAUAUUGGACAAUGGGCGCAAGCCUGAUCCAGCAAUGCCGCGUGUGUGAAGAAGGCCUUCGGGUUGUAAAGCACUUUUGUCCGGAACGAAAAGCGACGGGUUAAUAACCAGUCGUGCUGACGGUACCGGUUGAAUAAGCACCGGCUAACUUCGUGCCAGCAGCCGCGGUAAUACGAAGGGUGCAAGCGUUAAUCGGAAUUACUGGGCGUAAAGGGUGCGUAGACGGUUUGUUAAGUCGGAUGUGAAAGCCCCGGGCUCAACCUGGGAAUGGCAUCUGAUACUGGCAGGCUAGAGUGCGAUAGAGGAUGGUGGAAUUCCCGGUGUAGCGGUGAAAUGCGUAGAGAUCGGGAGGAACAUCUGUGGCGAAGGCGGCCAUCUGGAUCAGCACUGACGUUGAGGCACGAAAGCGUGGGGAGCAAACAGGAUUAGAUACCCUUGUAGUCC
rnacentral:rRNA from 1 species